rnacentral:rRNA from 1 species
AUGAUUGCCGCAUCGGCGCGGCGGGUCGCUGCCGCCGCCGCUUCCUCUUCCCCGUCCGGCCGUGUCUCCCAGCUGGCCUCGACGCUGAAUCACCAGAGAUGGAUUCACGACCGGAACAAGAAGGCAAUGGAGUUGGUGGCCAAGGGUUGGAGCGCCCUACAGGAGGUCGAUCGCGUCAUCGACUUCGCCGACCGCAACGACAAGCGACUAAUCCCACUUCUCAGGGGCGCAAAGGAGAACUUUGAGCUGGCUCUAGAGAUCGACAAUAUGAAUACUCAUGCGAGAUGUUGGCUGGCCAAGAUGCAUUUCAAGUACCAUGUUCCCGGGGCGUGCAAGGCAAUUGGUGCUGCUUUGCUUGUUGAAGCUGCGAACAUGGGUGAUCCAGAGGCACAGUAUGAACUUGGAUGUCGGCUAAGAGUUGAGAAUGAUCAUGUUCAGUCUGAUCAACAGGCCUUCCAUUAUAUAGAGAAAGCUGUUGACCAGUUGCAUCCUGGUGCUUUGUAUCUUCUUGGUGCUGUAUAUAUAACUGGGGAUUGCGUCAAGAGGGACAUAGCUUCAGCUAUGUGGUGUUUCCAUAGAGCUUCAGAAAAGGGACAUGCUGGAGCUGCAAUUGCAUAUGGUUCCCUUCUUCUGAAAGGUGCUGAAGUGCCUGAAGUCAUUACCAGGUUCAACUCAGGCAAGAGUCCGUCAACUGGGAAGGUGCGAAAAAGGACCAUACAGCAGGACUCAGUAAAGCUGGCAAAGGAGCAGUUCCAGAUAGCAGCUGAGUCUGGAUCUGACCUUGGUUUACGGUGGUUGAAGAGGCUUGGAGAUUACGAAAAACAGCCCGAAGAGCUAAAGCAAAUCCAGCAAUGA